rnacentral:rRNA from 1 species
GAGGAAUAUUGGUCAAUGGGCGCGAGCCUGAACCAGCCAAGUAGCGUGCAGGAUGACGGCCCUAUGGGUUGUAAACUGCUUUUGUAUGGGGAUAAAGUCAAUCACGUGUGAUUGUUUGCAGGUACCAUACGAAUAAGGACCGGCUAAUUCCGUGCCAGCAGCCGCGGUAAUACGGAAGGUCCGGGCGUUAUCCGGAUUUAUUGGGUUUAAAGGGAGCGUAGGCCGGAGAUUAAGUGUGUUGUGAAAUGUAGACGCUCAACGUCUGACUUGCAGCGCAUACUGGUUUCCUUGAGUACGCACAACGUUGGCGGAAUUCGUCGUGUAGCGGUGAAAUGCUUAGAUAUGACGAAGAACUCCGAUUGCGAAGGCAGCUGACGGGAGCGCAACUGACGCUUAAGCUCGAAGGUGCGGGUAUCGAACAGGAUUAGAUACCCUGGUAGUCCGCACAGUAAACGAUGGAUGCCCGCUGUUGGUACUUGGUAUCAGCGGCUAAGCGAAAGCAUUAAGCAUCCCACCUGGGGAGUACGCCGGCAACGGUG